UCAAUAGCUAGUAGAAUAAGUUGUAGCUGGCUAUACCAGGAACUUAAUCUGCAUUUAUUCAACUAGAUCAAGUACAAGUACAUUAGUUCGUAAUCUGCUAUUAAUACAUCUCCUAGUCAUAAAUUUCCUGAAGUAGUGCAUGUAUAUAUUAAGGUGCUGGUUAAUUAGAAAAUGGAUGUGAUUUCUAACAUGAUUGUUCUAGGCUACAAGAUAUAUCUCUAUUGGUUCAACUUGCUGUAGAAUAUGCCCCUGUUCAUUCAUUUAUGUGUAUUUCUAUUUGCCUCUAGUGACAUGUGAGAAACACUCAUGUAAAUGUUUAUAUUUUGAGUAGCGGGGUACAACUACAGUUGCAGAAUCAUCCAGCCAAAUUUUGGGAGGAUGGCAUAAAAGAUUACAUAACCCAUGCUUUUGAAGUCAUG
rnacentral:rRNA from 1 species